rnacentral:rRNA from 1 species
GAUGAACGCUGGCGGCGUGCCUAAUACAUGCAAGUCGAGCGAACGGACGAGAAGCUUGCUUCUCUGAUGUUAGCGGCGGACGGGUGAGUAACACGUGGAUAACCUACCUAUAAGACUGGGAUAACUUCGGGAAACCGGAGCUAAUACCGGAUAAUAUUUUGAACCGCAUGGUUCAAAAGUGAAAGACGGUCUUGCUGUCACUUAUAGAUGGAUCCGCGCUGCAUUAGCUAGUUGGUAAGGUAACGGCUUACCAAGGCAACGAUGCAUAGCCGACGUGAGAGGGUGAUCGGCCACACUGGAACUGAGACGCGAUCCAGACUCCUACGGGAGGCAGCAGUAGGGAAUCUUCCGCAAUGGGCGAAAGCCUGACGGAGCAACGCCGCGUGAGUGAUGAAGGUCUUCGGAUCGUAAAACUCUGUUAUUAGGGAAGAACAUAUGUGUAAGUAACUGUGCACAUCUUGACGGUACCUAAUCAGAAAGCCACGGCUAACUACGUG